AAUAAUUUAGUGACUCUGACUCGGAUAAACAGCUUUGAAUAUACAUGUGAGUGAAUAGUAAAAUUAUAGCUAAUGUUGUUUAAGUGUGUUAUACACAUUAAGGAUGUGGAAUGGAGAGGAGGAGGAGGAAAAUUGGGAAGUAUAUGAAUGAUUUGUGUAUAAUUGGUCAUAUGCUUGAUUAUAAUUGAUAAACGAUGAAAUAGAAAUAAUGCUUAUAUUUGUGCAUUAUUGGUUUUGGUUUAAGCUCAUGUGUGAAAAUAAAGUUUCAUAGUAUUUGUGUAUCGUAUAUUCGGUAUAUGAUUUGGCAUGAAAUAAUUUCAUGAAUGGUUUAUCAUGUGGUUAGUUCCAAAAAAGAGUUAUGUUUAAAUAUACUAGCUUGUGACUAUGGUUGAAUGCUAUGUUUAUAUCUUGUGUGAUGUGUAUAGGAAACAAGUGUGGUAAGAUAAUGAAAUAGUAAGUUCAUAUGACUGAAAUUUAAUGAUUAAAUGUUAAUUUCAUGAAUUAUAUAAUGUAUGAUGAAAUGUAUUUAGUGUUGAAAAGAGAGUAAAAUAAAAAUGCGAAAAUUGAAUAAAUGAUCAAAUUGAGCGGAAAUUUGAGUACUUCUGAUCAAGUGACAAAGUGAUAGGUGAUAGCUUCGGCUACACUUAUCUGAUCAAGUGACAAGUGGAAAGUGAUAAGUGAUAGCUUCGGCUACACUUAUCUGAUCAAGUGACAAGUGGAAAGUGAUAAGUGAUAGCUUCGGCUAUACUUAUCUGAUCAAGAGACAAAGUGAUAAGUGAUAGCUUCGGCUACACUUAUCUGAUCAAGUGACAAGUGAAAAGUGAUAAGUGAUAGCUUUAGCUACACUUAUCUGAUCAAGAGACAAAGUGAUAAGUGGCUACACUUAUCU
rnacentral:lncRNA from 1 species